AACGGCCAUACCGUGGUGAAUAUACCGGUUCUCGUUAAAUCACCGAAGCAUCAUUGGGCCCGGUCAGUACUUGGGUGGGUGACCACCGCGUGCCGAGAACACCGCGUGCCGU